ensembl:rRNA 5S_rRNA 5S ribosomal RNA
GAGAGCAAAUUAUGUUAUGGCUCUGAAUGCAGCCAAUCAUGUCUGAUCUUGGGGGCUAAGCAGCAUCAGGUCUGAUUAGUGCACAGAUGGGAGAGUGCUUCUGAUUCUGUAAGUACCCUUGCUCACU